rnacentral:misc_RNA from 1 species
ACGCUCAUCUGAUGAGCCUCUGCCUUUCGGUUCUCUUGGAACAAGACGGCAAAGAGUCACUUUGACCGUCGCGCAUACCUUAAGCGGGUCUGCCGCCUUCGUUUCUCUUUCUUCAGCGAAUGACUUUGGAUCAGCGCUCGCGCGCCGUACCGCGGCCCCCUGUUGAUUAAGAUGGGCGGCCGCUGGCGCUCCGCGAGGGCGCGGCAUAAGCCGCGACGGCCGGUCGGCCUUGCGAGGCUUUGCCUCGAGGUCACCAGCUCGUUACUGGCAGAGCGCGGUCUUUAGGGCUUGUAGCUCAGUUGGUUAGAGCGCGCGCUUGAUAAGCGUGAGGUCGGAGGUUCAAGUCCUCCCAGGCCCACCAUCUCUAGUGCAACCCGAAGGGUUGUCGCUCGCAAUCCGCAAGGAUUGUCGGAUCUCCUCGAUAGAGUAUCAGGGAAACAAUCAGGGGCCGUAGCUCAGCUGGGAGAGCGCCUGCUUUGCAAGCAGGAUGUCGUCGGUUCGAUCCCGUCCGGCUCCACCACUCGCGCAAUUCCGAAGGGAUUGUCGCGGUUCGCGACGAUCCUGCGGAUCGCGCGGAGGUGUCGAGUAGAGAUGAGAAAAGUCAUUCGUAAAAAAGGUUUGCGGCGAGCAACGAGCUCUCCGCCUGUUCUGUUUUGACAUCGUAAAGAGAAGAUUUGUUCGAACUUCAUGAGCCGAAAGGUUCGUGAUUUGUCGCAGGAGACGCUCAAUCUCCUGCAUAUGAUGGGUUUGCCUAACCGCGCCCUCGAACCGAUCUCGAGAAGCUGGUCUUUUUGUGCCAAUGACAUCGAAUUGGAUCCCGCACAGGAUCUGGUUCAGGCGACGAUCUCUUCGAGAUCGCGCGGGUGGGCAUUGGCAAUGAGAACGAUCAAGUGUCUUAAGGGCAAUUGGUGGAUGCCUUGGCAUGCACAGGCGAUGAAGGACGUGAUACGCUGCGAUAAGCUACGGGAGGUGCG